GCCUAAAAUAAAUCCAUCUAAAUAUGUAUUUUGGAAGUUGUAUUACAAUUAGAGUAAAAGAAGACAUGGAAGCAAAAUAGACCAAAAUCUCAACAUUGAGCACAACAUGAA